rnacentral:rRNA from 1 species
CCUACGGGGGGCAGCAGUGAGGAAUAUUGGUCAAUGGACGAGAGUCUGAACCAGCCAAGUAGCGUGAAGGAUGACUGCCCUAUGGGUUGUAAACUUCUUUUAUAAAGGAAUAAAACGAGGCACGUGUGCCUUUUUGCAUGUACUUUAUGAAUAAGGAUCGGCUAACUCCGUGCCAGCAGCCGCGGUAAUACGGAGGAUCCGAGCGUUAUCCGGAUUUAUUGGGUUUAAAGGGAGCGUAGAUGGGUUGUUAAGUCAGUUGUGAAAGUUUGCGGCUCAACCGUAAAAUUGCAAUUGAUACUGGUAGUCUUGAGUACAGUUGAGGUAAGCGGAAUUCGUGGUGUAGCGGUGAAAUGCUUAGAUAUCACGAAGAACCCCGAUUGCGAAGGCAGCUUACUAAACUGUGACUGACAUUGAUGCUCGAAAGUGUGGGUAUCAAACAGGAUUAGAUACCCCGGUAGUC